rnacentral:rRNA from 1 species
CCUACGGGAGGCAGCAGUGAGGAAUAUUGGUCAAUGGGCGGGAGCCUGAACCAGCCAAGUCGCGUGAGGGAAGACGGUACAACGUAUCGUAAACCUCUUUUGUCGGGGAACAAAGGCGGGGACUAGUCCCCGGAUGAGGGUACCUGGAGAAAAAGCAUCGGCUAACUCCGUGCCAGCAGCCGCGGUAAUACGGAGGAUGCGAGCGUUAUCCGGAUUUAUUGGGUUUAAAGGGUGCGCAGGCGGCCUGUUAAGUCAGCGGUAAAAUCCCGGGGCUCAACCCCGGCGAGCCGUUGAAACUGGCGUUCUUGAGUUGGAGAGAAGUACGCGGAAUGCGCGGUGUAGCGGUGAAAUGCAUAGAUAUCGCGCAGAACUCCGAUUGCGAAGGCAGCGUACCGGCUCCACACUGACGUUGAGGCACGAAAGUGUGGGUAUCGAACAGGAUUAGAUACCCCUGUAGUC